CAGCAGCCGCGGGAAUACGUAGGGUGCAAGCGUUAAUCGGAAUUACUGGGCGUAAAGCGUGCGCAGGCGGUUAUAUAAGUCAGAUGUGAAAUCCCCGGGCUCAACCUGGGAACUGCAUUUGAGACUGUAUGGCUAGAGUGUGUCAGAGGGGGGUAGAAUUCCACGUGUAGCAGUGAAAUGCGUAGAUAUGUGGAGGAAUACCGAUGGCGAAGGCAGCCCCCUGGGAUAACACUGACGCUCGUGCACGAAAGCGUGGGGAGCAAACAGGAUUAGAUACCCCUGUAGUCCCUGUCUCUUAUAC
rnacentral:rRNA from 1 species